GGAGAGGGCUAGCGUUAUUCGGAAUUAUUGGGCGUAAAGGGCGCGUAGGCGGAUUAGUAAGUUAAAAGUGAAAUCCCAAGGCUCAACCUUGGAAUUGCUUUUAAAACUGCUAAUCUAGAGAUUGAAAGAGGAUAGAGGAAUUCCUAGUGUAGAGGUGAAAUUCGUAAAUAUUAGGAGGAACACCAGUGGCGAAGGCGUCUAUCUGGUUCAAAUCUGACGCUGAGGCGCGAAGGCGUGGGGAGCAAACAGGAUUAGAUACCCUGGUAGUCCACGCUGUAAACGAUGAAUGUUAAAUAUGGGGAGUUUACUUUCUGUAUUACGGCUAACGCGUUAAACAUUCCGCCUGGGGACUACGGUCGCAAGAUUAAAACUCAAAGGAAUUGACGGGGACCCGCACAAGCGGUGGAGCAUGUGGUUUAAUUCGAUGCAACGCGAAAAACCUUACCACUCCUUGACAUGGAAAUUAUACCUAUUCGAAGGGAUAGGGUCGGUUCGGCCGGGUCUCACACAGGUGU
rnacentral:rRNA from 1 species